rnacentral:rRNA from 1 species
GACAGAGGGGGCAAGCGUUGUCCGGACUGACCGGGCGUAAAGCGCGCGCAGGCGGAUGCGGGCGUCGGUGCGGAAAGGUCGCCGCUUAACGGCGGAGAGCGUACCGAUACGCCGCGUCUGGAGCGCGGGCGAGGGUGGUGGAAUUGCCGGUGUAGUGGUGAAAUGCGUAGAGAUCGGCAGGAACACCCGUGGCGCAAGCGGCCACCUAGCCCGUUGCUGACGCUGAGGCGCGACAGCGUGGGGAGCGAACUGG